UUUUACGCUUUAUUUACGUUUGUAACUGUUUAUUACUUGUCGUUUUGUGUACCCUGGCUGGUCCUGGAUAGGGAUUUAAUACACAAAAUAGUCUGGAAAUUUGGGCUAAAUUUCGGCGUGACAGUAAUCCACCAAGUUGGCAAUCAUGGAAAGUCACGGGUCGCGCUAAGACGUUAAACUGGAAUGAAGUGUCCUUGCUUAUGUUGGAAGCUGAUCCCCAAGAUGCAUCCUUUAUGCAUAAUGUUCAUAUGGAAGCGAAGGAAAAAGUAACUAAUAAAUCAAGGAAGGAUGUCAAGGCACUAACUGAGAGAUACACAAGCAACACUUCAUUAGUAGCGAUCCUUAUAGCAACAAUUACAUUUGCAGCAGCUUUCACCUUGCCUGGAGGAUAUAGUGCUGUGGAGAUUAUGGUUACCCCAUAUCUACAUGGCGGUUAUAUUCCAGCUGGAUAUACGGUACCAAAUAUAGAUAGAAUAUCUCUAUGAGGACUCGGGUUAGAUUCUAAACUUGUAUGUUAAGAAAAUACCUGGGAUCCUAGUCGGUUACGAUUGUAUUUUAUCUGUAAUCCCAUAUCCCGUUAGGAUAUGGACUGUACUUUAUAUUACAGAUCCCUUCCCCAAUAUAAGGAGGGGUCCGGGUUCCUCUC